GCACCUGAAUCUUUCCCAUUCUUUGCUGCUCUGUGCUGGCGUGGGGACACAUGGUGCAACAGUAUGAGCAGAGGAAAUCCAGACGGGUUGUUUUCCAUUUGUCUUGGGGCCUGUCUCUACGACUCUGCCACACUU
ensembl:snoRNA SNORA55 small nucleolar RNA, H/ACA box 55